GUCCCCAUCGUCUAGAGGCCUAGGACAAGGGCCUUUCGAGCCCUCGACACCGGUUCGAAUCCGGUUGGGGACG
rnacentral:tRNA from 1 species